GGCCCCAUGGUGUAAUGGUCAGCACUC
rnacentral:piRNA from 1 species